AAUGAACGUUGGCGGCGUGGAUUAGGCAUGCAAGUCGAGCGGAAAGGCCCGCAAGGGCACUCGAGCGGCGUAAGGGACAGUAAUGUGUAGGUAACGUACCCCUGGGUCUAGGAUAGCUGCGGGAAACUGCAAUUAAUACUAGAUAACGUCUCCGGACCAAAGGUGUGAUUCCACCUGGGGAGCGGCCUACAUCCUAUUAGCUAGUUGGCGAGGUAAUGGCUCACCAAGGCGAAGAUGGGUAGCAGGUGUGAGAGCACGACCUGCGUCACUGGGACUGAGACACUGCCCAGACACCUACGGGUGGCUGCAGUCGAGAAUCUUCGGCAAUGGGCGAAAGCCUGACCGAGCGACGCCGCGUGUGGGAUGAAGGCCUCGGUUGUAACGACUAGUCGGAGGGAGUGAAGUGUUA
rnacentral:rRNA from 1 species